GAUAGGAACGAUCGAUAUGCCAACAGGAAUACUGUUUUUUUCGAUAUUAACUUGAGAGGUUUGGACGGAAUUCAAGGCCCAGUGUAUGUGGGAACUGGAUGUGUCUUUAAUAGAACAGCUUUAUAUGGGUAUGAACCUCCAAUUAAGCCAAAGCAUAAGAAAGCAGGGUUCCUCUCUUCCUGCUUCGGUGGAUCAAGAAAGAAGGGUUCUAAAUCAAGUAAAAAUGGCUCAGACAAGAAGAAAUCUAGUAAGAAUGUUGAUCCCACUGUGCCAAUAUUCAGUCUGGAGGAUAUAGAGGAGGGAGUUGAAGGUGCUGGAUUU
rnacentral:misc_RNA from 1 species